CUUUUUCCUUUGGCGCAAGCACGUGCUACAACGUAUAACGUUAUUUGAGACUUUGUACUUUUCAUUUGCGUUGCAUUACAAUUUUUAUUUUCAUUCUCUAUAUUGCACGCUAUAAAGAUUUUAGCUAUCAGAAGCCACGUUUCUUCCUUGAAGCUGGAUUAAAUGCUAGUCUUGCCAACUUGCCGUAAAUACCCUGUCCAGUGAAUACGAAACGAAUUGCUUAGGAGGAUGACUCGAGACAUGGCGACGUGACUCAACCGACUCCUUUAUAGAGGAAUCUUCCACGGAGUUUUUCAGAAAGAGAUACGCAUGAUUCCUGAUGACCAUGAAAGAUUGUAAUACAGGUGCUCGAUUUUUGCGAUAAUUAAUGAUGAUAGAGAUGUAUUGGAAAUGUCGAAGAUGGAGCAUUAUAUUGUAAAAUGAAUAUUGGAAACGAAUAUUUCUGUGAUAGUGACGAAACAAUUUUUCAUCGAAAUUGAGAUACGUACUUUUUAUUCAUAUUAUUCAUAUUUUAUUCAUAUUAUUUAGAUAAUUUUUUUAAAAGAAAAAAUCAAGCGUAUAUUAAAGAUUUUUCAACUUUUUUUGUUUUUUUUAUUUUUAUUUAUUUAAUAAAAAUUUAUUAGUUUGUAAAAUAUGACAUCUGUUUAUUUAAAAAAAUUACAUAAUUUUAAUAAUUUUUUAAAUAAUUUUUUAUUAUGCAGGAUUGUGAAGUAUCGUACAGAUUGAAGUUGAUUUUAUGAUAAUUAAUCAUAAUCUAAAAUAAUGAUGAAGAUAAAAGAAUCGAAUUGAAAAUGUCAAAAUUCAAGAAAAAUAAUAUUAUAAAGAAAUUAAAAUUGUAUUGACCAUAAUUAAAUGGCAGAACAAUUUUUCAUUUAAGAUAUUGAUGAUUUUUUAAGUGUAUUUAGACAUAUUAAAAAUAAUGCAAUUUGUCUUUCUAAUCAAAGACAAAACACUAUAUGGUAACAAAUAACUUUUCUAAAUAAUAAAUAAUUUUUAAAAAACAUAUAUAUUAAUAAAAAGAAAUUCUUAUCAAUAUUAAUCAAUAUUAUAAGUCAUUCGUUAUAAGAUACUUGUUAUAAAACAUUUUAUUCUUUCUUUCAAUUUGUUUUUGUAGUAUAGAAUCAUCAUUAUGAUGACUAUCCCUACUAUGAUUCCAGAGAAUUUUUUUAAUAUACAUGUUUUUCUAAUUAAUAUAUAUCUUUUCUUAAUUUCAAAUAAUAAAGUAAAAUGAUUUUAUACGAAAUUUUUUUUAAUAUUAAUAUAAAAAUGGAUAUCCUUUUACCACGAGAUUCUCAAUUGAAGUUGUAAAAUUGAAAACGAUUAUUUCUGUGGUCGAGUGGUAAAACACUUCAUAAAAAUUGAGAAGAUUUGAUCCUUUAUGAAUAUUUAAAUAAGAUCUAUUAAAAAAUGACACCUGUUUACCAAGAAAAAUUACAUAAUUCCUUAUGGUUAUGGAAGAUGGUGAAGUGCCGUGCAGGUGGUGUGAAGUUGACUUUUAAGAUAAAUGAUAGCGAUAAAGAAGCACUGAAAAUAUCGAAAUUAUUGUCGCAAAAUCGUAUGUAGAAAAAUGAAACGUUCAUUUCCAUGAAAUGAAAAUGUAUUUAAUAUAUAAUUUUUUUAAAAUUGAAAUAAGUGUUUCCUAAAUAGAUAACAAUUGUUUAUUUAUGUAAUUUAAAGUAUAAAAUAUAAAAAUAAAGAGAUUAAAAA